CCGAUACUUAUAGCUCGAUUGAUUUACUUUG
rnacentral:misc_RNA from 1 species